rnacentral:rRNA from 1 species
CUGAGCUGGGGGUGGCCGCAGAGACCAGCGAGAAGCGACUGUUUACUAAAAACACAGGUCCGUGCGAAGCCGUAAGGCGAUGUAUACGGACUGACGCCUGCCCGGUGCUGGAACGUUAAGGGGACCGGUUAGUCUAGUUUCGACUAGGCGAAGCUGAGAACUUAAGCGCCAGUAAACGGCGGUGGUAACUAUAACCAUCCUAAGGUAGCGAAAUUCCUUGUCGGGUAAGUUCCGACCUGCACGAAUGGCGUAACGACUUCUCGACUGUCUCAACCAUAGGCCCGGUGAAAUUGCAUUACGAGUAAAGAUGCUCGUUUCGCGCAGCAGGACGGAAAGACCCCGGGACCUUUACUAUAGCUUGAUAUUGGUGUUCGGUUCGGCUUGUGUAGGAUAGGUGGGAGACUUUGAAGCGGCAACGCCAGUUGUCGUGGAGUCGACGUUGAAAUACCACUCUGGUCGUGCUGGAUGUCUAACCUGGGUCCGUGAUCCGGAUCAGGGACAGUGUCUGGUGGGUAGUUUAACUGGGGCGGUUGCCUCCUAAAGAGUAACGGAGGCGCCCAAAGGUUCCCUCAGCCUGGUUGGCAAUCAGGUGUUGAGUGUAAGUGCACAAGGGAGCUUGACUGUGAGACCGACGGGUCGAGCAGGUGCGAAAGCAGGGACUAGUGAUCCGGCGGUGGCUUGUGGAAGCGCCGUCGCUCAACGGAUAAAAGGUACCCCGGGGAUAACAGGCUGAUCUUCCCCAAGAGUCCAUAUCGACGGGAUGGUUUGGCACCUCGAUGUCGGCUCGUCGCAUCCUGGGGCUGGAGUAGGUCCCAAGGGUUGGGCUGUUCGCCCAUUAAAGCGGUACGCGAGCUGGGUUUAGAACGUCGUGAGACAGUUCGGUCCCUAUCCGCUGUGCGCGUAGGAAUAUUGAGAAGGGCUGUCCCUAGUACGAGAGGACCGGGACGGACGAACCUCUGGUGUGCCAGUUGUCCUGCCAAGGGCAUGGCUGGUUGGCUACGUUCGGGAGGGAUAACCGCUGAAAGCAUCUAAGCGGGAAGCCUGCUUCGAGAUGAGUAUUCCCACCUCCUUGAGAGGGUAAGGCUCCCAGUAGACGACUGGGUUGAUAGGCCGGAUGUGGAAGCCCAGUAAUGGGUGGAGCUGACCGGUACUAAUAGGCCGAGGGCUUGUCCUC